CUGCGUAAUGGCUGCAAACAGCAAAUUUCUUGGUAGUAUACAAAGCCUGUUGUUUGUAUGGGCUUCCCUCAGGGACCUUGGAGACAAUG
ensembl:snoRNA SNORA70 Small nucleolar RNA SNORA70